ACAGCAAAGAGGACAAAGAAAACAGCAAGUUUUAGGGGGUUGAAUCCUGGAUUCCCCUGGCAAACACCAUUCUACUUUCCGUCUCUAUGAAUUUGACUACUCGAAGUACCUCAUGUGAAAUGUUGGUGCCAAAUGAACUUUUCUGGUUCUUCUGAAUAGACCCACAAAAGAAGAGAUACUGAGGUGGUGACCAGAUGGAUAUAAACGGGCUGUGGAAAAAGAGAAUGCAUGGCCAAAAAUGGUGGUGCUCUCUGUCCAAAAACUGAGGCCCUAUGACCAUGAAUGAAGCCAGAGGGCAGGUAGGAAUAGAUCAUUUGCUCCAGAAGAAGCUGGUUGCCAUGUCUUGAGGACAGUAAACCCUCUGGGGAGGUUCCUGUGGUAAGGAACAAGGGCUCCUGGCAAUAGCCUCUGAGUGAGCCACCUUGAAAAUGGAUUGUCCAGCCCCAGUCAAGCUUUCAGAUGACUGUAGCUCCUGCCAAUGUCUUCACCACAACCUCAUGAGAUCCCAAGCUACAACCACUCAGAACUUCAUCUUUUGGGAAGCACCAGGGAGAGCUGCCUGUGCCUGGCAGAAGCUGCCCAUGCCCCACUGAUACCCCACAGUACUUCCUGUUCUGCUUAGUACUCCUGCUUCUUUCUACAAACAACUGUGAUUCUCUACCUGGGAGCUUCCUCUGGCCACAGGAGCCUGCUCACCUGAUUGGGACACCCUAGCAGUACUGGCUCAUAGAUGGAAGGGACUUGCCUUGUCGCUGAUGAGACUUUCGACUUGGACUUUUGAGUCAAUGCUGGAAUGAGUUAAGACUUUGGGGAACUGUUGGAAGGGUGUGAUUGUGUUUUGAAUUGUGAGGACAUGAGAUUUUGAAGAGGCUAAUGGCAGCGUCCCCACCUAAAUCUCUUCUUGAAUUGUAGUUCCCAUAAUCCCCACGUGUCGUGGGGUGGAGCCGGUGGAGAUAAUUGAAUCAUGGGAACACUUUCCCCCAUGCUGUUAUUGUGAUUGUGAAUUCUCACGAGAUCUGAUGGUUGUAUAAACGCCUUCCCUCUUCGCUGGGCACUCAUUUUUCUCCUUCCUGCCACCAUGUGAAGAAGGAUAUGCUUGCUUCUUGUGCCAUGAUUGUAAGUUUCCUGAGGCCUCCCCAGCCAUGCUGAACUGUGAGUCAAUUGAACCUCUUUCCUUUAUAAAUUACCUAGUCUUGGAUAUGUUUUUAUUAGCAGUGUGAGACAGGACUAAUACACAAAGGAUUUGAAAUCACAAAGGAGCUGUUUUCUGCUCCACCAUGGAAGUCUCACAUGCAUCACAUCUAUUCAUAUCCAUUUGCCACAACUAGACAAAAAGUCCUUUUUAAAAUCUGCCUAGAGAUCAGGAAGUAUUAUCUCUGGAUGCCUAGGCAGGAGAGGUGAAUCAGAUAUUGGUGGGCACUAGUGUGUUCUAUGAUACAUAGCUUAAUAAAAAUAAGUUUCAGAUAAAUCUAAAUAUACAUUAGAAUACUGUAACCACAGUAGAAAAAAAUAUUGGCUCCUUUUUGUGAUAAACUAAUGAUGGUAAAUGCACCCUAUUUAAGCAAGAAAAGAAACUGAUCUGCCAUAAAGAAAACAAUGACAUAUUUAACUACAAAAUAUGUUACAAAAUAUUAAUAUCCCUAAUGGACAAAUGAGUUCCAAUAAAUGGAUAACAAAAAACCAAUAAGUCUGUAGAAAAAUGGAGAAAAUAUAUUUGCAGAAUAUUUAUACAGGUGGUAAUGAAAUUGACAAUGAUGUUUAUCAUCAGCAGUAAACAGUAAAAAGUUUCACCCACCAGGACUAUAGAAAUUUUUCAAAUGGAUAAUUUUCAGAAUCAGCAAAGUUAUAGAAAAGUAGGUACCAGUUGCACAUACCAUUGGAGGAAAUGUAAAAUAUAGUUACCUUGUGGAAAGUAAUCUGAUGUAAUAUAUUAAAAUUUUAUCCAUGUAUGUCCUAUAAUUCAGCAAUUCCAUGUUGGGGAAUCCAUACAAAGAAAUACUUAUACACAUGCAGAAGGAGCUAAGUUUAAGAAAGCACACAUUUCAGCGGGUUGUGGUGUCUCACCCCUGUAAUCCCAGCACAUUGGGAGGCCGAGGUUGGUGGAUCACCUGAGGUCAGGAGUUUGAGACCAGCCUGGCCAACAUGGUGAAACCCUGUCUCUACUAAAAAUACA
rnacentral:lncRNA from 1 species